UGUUUUGUUUUUGAGGGGGGGAGGGGUCAUUACUUUGGAUACUUUUUUCUAACUUCAUUAGGUUUUUUUUUGUUUGUUUGUUUGUUUUUAGAAAUUAAAUCUAAAUUAGAUUCCUUAAAUUCCUUCAAAGUGCUCAGUGGUCAUACGUUUAGUCUGGAUUGAUGAAUAAGAGAGUAUCUGAGUUGUAUGUCAACUUUGAAAUGUUAGCCCCUUAUGUAUGCAGAUUGAGCUUCAGUAAACUACCUGAAGAAGCAUAAUUAAAUGCCCAUAUGGUCAGAGUGGCAGCAAUUACAUCAUAUCAUGUUCAGAGGAUGUAAGAAUUACAUACUCAGAUAACACUGCAUGUCUUUCUGUCAUCUCUUUUGCAGAACGGGUGUCACGGUUCUGGGUCAUUCUGACCCAGCUUCUUCAGUUCUUUGUGUUUUGGUUCGUGUCUGGUGUCAGUGUGUUCGGUUUACUAUUCCCCUGUCUCGUCAGCUGUGAUUUCUCCCAGGUGUGUUCCCCUCCUGUGCCUCAUCCCUUGAUUACUGCCGUGUGUAUAUUAGCCCUGUGUUACCUUUGUUCUCUGUUGCAUCGUUAAUGUUUACUCACCUUCAGUCUGUACUCUGUUUUCCAUCCGUGUGUAUCUGCCUGAUUAGUUUGUAUUUUCCCAGUUUAGUUAGUCCGCUAUUUACCGGCAACCUACUAAUAAAGCGGUUACUUUGAGUUCUACUUCGCCUCACUGAAACCUGCAUUUUGGGUCCUUCUCUCCUUACCUGCCGGUACGCAAACAUGACAACGGGGGGGCUUAGGUUUGCACACAUGGGAUUGUGAGGCUCACAGUUCUUUCCCCCAGCGGGAAACAGAAACAUGUUGCUGUGAAGAAACCACACCUCCACAAGCUGCCUCACAUGUUGCCGCACACAUCCACGUCUCCUAUGUUCAUGUUCUCUUGGGCUGUCAAAAAGCAGUGAGAUUCCUGUUGUUACAUUCUGUUCUACACUAAUAGCACGGAGUGUUAUUGCACUCGUUUAAAAGUUACAUGACUGCAUCAUCAGUAAUGAUAACAAUAAACAUUGCCAAAUUUAACUGGUGGGGCACUUUCCACUGGACCACACUCCACUUUUUUCUCCUUUUUUCUUACAAACUUCCAGUCUAGUUUGAAAAACACAUACAGUGUUGGGGAAACUAAAUUGCAAGGUACUACUUUAUGGUGGAUGAUGUUUAAUAACUGCAAAGCAGCUAUAGGGAAGGAUUUUAUUUAAAGCUCCUUAGUUAGGACGUUGAGUGUCAAGGUUGAUUUGUAACAGAAGCAACAAGAGUGAAAGGGAGCAUUUACAAUAUGGUAACGAGACAUGCUAUGAUGUAUGGUUUGGAAAUGGUGAAACUAACAAAAAAACAGGGGGUGGAGGCCCCAUCUUAUCUUAAUAACCUUCUGGUCACCCC
ensembl:lncRNA